UACGUAGGGUGCGAGCGUUGUCCGGAAUUAUUGGGCGUAAAGGGCUCGUAGGCGGUUUGUCGCGUCGGGAGUGAAAACAUCGGGCUUAACUCGGUGCUUGCUUUCGAUACGGGCAGACUUGAGGCAUGCAGGGGAGAACGGAAUUCCUGGUGUAGCGGUGAAAUGCGCAGAUAUCAGGAGGAACACCGGUGGCGAAGGCGGCUCACUGGACUGGUACUGACGCUGAUGCGCGAAAGCGUGGGGAGCAAACAGG
rnacentral:rRNA from 1 species